UAUCUCCCUUACACUGAGACGACGUCUGUUCAAAUCAGACUGCCCCG
rnacentral:tRNA from 1 species